UUUUUUUUUUUUUUUUGGUGUAUGACUGGGUGGGCUAAGGAUCAAAUUCUCACCACAGCAAUGAAAAUACCAGAUCCUUAACCUGCUGAGCCCGGAGGGAACUCAAAGGACCAGUGAUUUUUAAGGUUUGAUCUUAUGGUAAUUUUUUGGCAAGGUUUGUCUUUGUUUGUUUGUUUGUUUGUUUGUGGUUAAAGUUACCUUUUAAAAAAAUAUGGUGUAGAGUGUACGUUAUUUUUAGCUAAAAGAACAUAACUUUUUCUUCUUUUUAAACAGUGCCAAUGGCAGUCAUUCUUGGGUACAAACAUUAUUUCUUUCAAACGCUCUGUUUGGGAUGGUUGAUCCUAACAGCUACCACACGUUGGGCUCAUUUGGGAAAAGACACUGCUCAGAGCCAGUGAGACGUUCAAGCUAAAUGUUAUGAAGAAGGUCACUGGGCCUGGCUGCCUGCACACUGUGCCCUGUGCCUGGAGAACACAUUCCAGGGAGGGAGUCAUGUUCUUAAAAAACCCCUGAGUUCCCGCUGUGGUGCCAUCGGUUAAGGAUCCAGUACGGCCACAGUUAUGGUGCAGGUCACAGAUGCGGCUCAGCUUUGAUCCCCGGCCCCAGAACUUCCAUAUGCUUGGGGUGCGGCUAAAAAAGGGGGAAAAAUCUCCCUGGGUGACUCUAGUGAGCAAGUGAGGGGAAAUAUUGAAAUACAGUGAGGAUUCCCUCAGCACCACUGUUGGGGACCACGGAACAGCUGAACUCUGCAGAAGGCAAAUAUCUAUGGACACAGAGUUCUGAAGUACCAAGUGUCCUCCAAAGACAAGAUAAAGGACUUAUGCAUUAACCAUGUCAUUCCAUAAACAGCUGCACUGUGUCCUAAGGAUACCCCCUUGGAUAUCACUAAGAAGAUAACCUGCUUAUUGCCUAUGCCUGUUCCUGCCCACUAACCUUGUCACCUUCCUUAAUCCCACUACUAACAAGCUCAUCACCUUCCUUAAUAAGAGUCCUGUGGGCUAAAGCCCAGGCGCCUUUGUUCUGUGGACCAGAGUGCCUCCUGGUCCCACACUUUCCAGGUGUAAGAGUCUUGCGUGUUCUGUGACACCCUGCCGUCCCGCUUCCAGGAUUGGAAUGACGCGUCACCAGCUUCCAGGAGCAUCUGAGGCCGUCCUCCCACAGCCUCACGUCUCUACACAGAAGAGCCCCCUUCUCCUCAGAGCUGAGGGCCACACAGGAAGGAGGGCUCUGGCCUCCAGAGAGGAGCCACACAGAGGAAGGGACCAGGCACCCUGCACAGAAGGGGACCUGCCUCCAGGAAGCCAUCACUGCUCUGACUUGAUCUUGAUCUCAGAGGAAUUUGUGCCCCAGAAGCCCCCUCAGUCCUGACCCCUGAGCAGCCAAGGGCACCCUCAAGACUCACCCUGAGGGGUGUGAGGGGAGCACACAGAGGCUCUGAGGAGACAGGGGACACAAAGCGUCAACUGCCUUGUCCCUAAGGCAGGGGACAGUGUUCAGAGCAGGGGGAAAGACCUGUCCCUGAGGGGCUCUGGUCACCAGGUCACAUGCUGUGCCUGGGUCUGGACACCAGGGGGCGCUCUGGGUGCAUUCGUCAGGGUGGAGGGGGUUUCUGGGGAUGAGAGCUGGGACCAGCCACCUAGCACUGCCUCCUGCCCUCUGUUCAGGGCUCCGAGCUGGGGACUCCCCACCGAUCCCCCGCCCCCCGCCCCCGUCGAUGCCUCUGCCCACCUCCAGGCCACCCUGAAGCAGAGGAACGUGAUCUAGAGCCCAGUGAGAGGUCAGAGCUGGGGGUGCCAUUGGCAUGCAGGGCCCCUCCCUCUCUCCGAGUAAGAAGAGGGGAAGGACAGACUGGGGGUCGCUCUGCUUCAGCUGUGGGGCCACAGCAAGCAGCCACGAGGACAGCCUGCAUCGUGGCCUGGUCCCCUCUGCUCCUCACCCUCCUGGCUCACUGCACGGGUGACUGGGGACAGGGACAGGGGAGGGGGCCUGGGAACAGCCCUGGGCCCUGCUUCCUCCUGUGUCUGCACCCCAGAAUCAGCAUCUCUGUCUCUCCUGCUUCCAGGAUCCUGGGCCCAGGCUGUGCUGACUCAGCCGCCCUCUGAGUCUGGGUCCCUGGGCCAGAGGGUCACCCUCUCCUGCACUGGGAGCAGCAGCAACAUCGGGGGUGGUAAUAGUUGUGAACUGGUCCCAGCCGCUCCCAGGAAAGGUCCCCAGAUCCGUAUUCACUUAUGCCAAUCUCAUGGCUAUUGCUGCCCCGGAUCAGAUCUCUGGCUUCAAGUCUGGCAGCUCAGGCACCCUGACCAUCACUGGGCUCCAGGCUGAGGAUGACGCUGAGUAUUACUGCACAGCCGGGGGUGACAGCCUCGAUGGCCCCACAGUGCCCCAGGCCAGGGGGCAAGUGAGACCAAAACCUGCUGUCCCCCAGCCAGGGGGCUCCCUGGGCAGAGCCAUCCUCUGCAUCAUCAGCUGCUGCCUUUGUCUGUUUGCCCACAGGCAGCCUGAGCCCAACAGCUGCCAGAACAUGUCCUCGUCACUAUCUGUCCCCAAACCUCUCCUCUGUGGCAGCACACGGUCUCAUUUCCUCAAGUUGAGCACAAAUCCCUGGAUGCUAGGGACAGGCUGCCCUGGAGACAGAGCUCAUGGCGGGUCAGAGCAGGACCCAGGACACAGAGUCCAGCUGUGCCUGAGUCAAGACACAUCAGAGUGUCCAGUCCGUGUCCUGGUGCCCACAGCACCUCCUCUCUAUGCGAGUAGUGGACCCUCGGGGUCCCUGCUGGGUUCCCUGCAGGAAGGUCUGGGGUUUGGGCUCCGUGGCCAUCAGUGGGCGCAGCUGAGAGCCUGGCUGCUCCUCCUGCCUUGCCCAUGAAAGCCUCUCAGGCUCACCCCAAACCUCAGUCCUGGAGCGGAAACCGAGCCCUGGACCCCUGCUCCUCUGUGGAGGUAGCCGCCCAGGGCCUCCUGCUCAGGCUCCCGCAGGAGCUGCUGCUGCUGCCCUCCUGGCUCCAGGUCAUCUGGGGCCCUGGCUGGGGUGGGGCGCCUCCCCUCCCCUCUGUCCUCCAAGUCCCUCCAGCUGCCCCUUCCUGUCCACCUGUGUUAGGGAUAAACAGGGAGGGUCUUUUCUUCUUCUUUUCUUCUUUUUGAGCACCCGCGCCCUUGUGCAGAAGUAAAGGGCCUAGUCGCGAUCUCCCCGUGUUCAUGUGUCUCACUUUCUGACACUGACGAUCCGAGCCAGAGUCAUUUUAAUUUUCCAGCGCUGGGCACGAAUCAGAGAACAGCUGGCGCCUUUACCGUAGGGGUGUGGAAAAGGGAAUAGGGAGCUUGGCAAGAGCGAAGCCAUCUUGCUGCCACUGUCCAUCUUGGUGAACUUAAACUGACCCAUACGAGGGCUCUGAGCAAAACAAAGUCGUUAGCACUUGAGAAACUCCGGGCCCCAAUUGUUCUCGAGAUAUUCAAAAAAGGAUAGCUAGGUUGUACUUGAGGUGAAUCAUUCAUUAAAGGAACAACAUAAGACAUUCUGUACAGCUAUACAUAUUUCUGUAUCCUGCAUGUAACUAAAGCCUAACGGAGCAUGUUAGCUACAUAAGCAAGCACUAUAAAUGUCUCUCCCCUUUCCGCUUGGGGUCCAUGAUUGGAAAGUGAUUCCCCACGGGCCGCCGGCGUAAUAAAGCUGUUCUCCACCUUCCUCGUGUGUCCUCUGAGGUGAUUUCUGGGACUUCGACAACAUUUACCACAUAUGUUCCACAAAUCCCCUUAAGUUCUUGAAUACAGUCAUGGUGUUUCCUCAAAAGGAAAAACAAAAACGAAAAACAAGAACAAAACCAAGAAAGCAAAACCUGUGUUCUAGGCUUUUAGGGUCCCCAGUCAGGAGUAGAGGCCAUGCUGGGCCAUUUCAGUUCCUUCAAUUGUCAAAACGUGCAAGGGUCCACCCUCUGAGGCUCAGCCCAAGGCCCGUGAUUAAUGCCAUUUGCCCCAACGUGGAUGUGGACGGGACGGAACUAGAGAUGAUCUUAUUAAGUGAAGUAAGUCAACAAGACACGGGCAAAUCCCAUAUGAUAUCAUUUAUAUGUGGAAUAGAACAUAAGGCACACGGGAACCGAACUGCGAAACACAAUCAGACCCCCAGACAGAAAGAAGAGACGUGUGGUUGCCAAGGGGGUAGAGGGGUAGGGGAGGGAUGGUCUGGGGGGAGCUGAUGCAAACUGCUGUACUUAGAACAGAUAAGCAACGGGUCCUACUGCUUAGCAUGGGGAGCUAGAUUCAAUUAUCUUGGGACAAACUGAGGCAGAAUAUUACGUAGUCAGUGUAGGAACAGGGGCUCCGAUACAUUCUUUCAUAGGGCUAUUGACUAACACUUGUGGCUUAAAGGCUCCGGGAAGUAACAUCCCCACAGGCCUUGUUUACUGUAGGAAAUGCGAAUCUCUAGCCCACUCCUCAACUGAUAGAAAAGGAACGAGAGGAAUGGUGACUCAAUCUAAGGAAAGAAAAGGGCACAAAACCCAUAAAACUUCCAGGAAAUUUCCAACCCUAAAAGCCCUAUUGCACAAGGACUGAUACAGGUAAUUGAGCAAGGCCAGUGGGAGAAAACCACAUCUUUCUGGACCCCACGUUGGUACCCUCCCCACCUUUAAAAGAUAAAAAGCCCUACAGGACAAUAGGGAGCGGGGGCUCUUCUCCCUGCUCCUUGCAGCCCUGGGAGCCAUUUGCUUUCCUUUAAGAGGGACUUUGCUUGCUAGCUGCCUGUGUAUUCUCAGAGGUCAUUCUUCGACUGCCAUGAACGAGAACCCGGAUUCCAGCAUCAAAAGCAUAAUGGAAACGAACAUAAAAAAGAAUGUAUAUAUAUAUGUAUAACUAUCACUUAGCUGAAUGGCACGAAUAGGCACAAUAUUGUAAAUCAACUACAAUUCAAUAAAAAUAGUAAACAAAUAAAAAAACAAUAAGGAAACUAUAUAUAUAUAUAUAUACACACACACACAACAUUGAGGGUAUAUAUGUAGCCUAAACUUUUUCUUUUUCUUCUUUUUUUCUUUUUUUCUCUUUGUGCCUUUUCUAGGGCCGCUCCCAGGGCAUGUGGUGGUUCCCAGGCUAGGGGUCUAAUCGGAGCUGUAG
rnacentral:lncRNA from 1 species